AAAUUGAAGAGUUUGAUCAUGGCUCAGAUUGAACGCUGGCGGCAGGCCUAACACAUGCAAGUCGAACGGUAACAGGAAGCAGCUUGCUGCUUCGCUGACGAGUGGCGGACGGGUGAGUAAUGUCUGGGAAACUGCCUGAUGGAGAGGGAUAACUACUGGAAACGGUGGCUAAUACCGCAUAACGUCGCAAGACCAAAGAGGGGGACCUUCGGGCCUCUUGCCAUCAGAUGUGCCCAGAUGGGAUUAGCUUGUUGGUGAGGUAACGGCUCACCAAGGCGACGAUCCCUAGCUGGUCUGAGAGGAUGACCAGCCACACUGGAACUGAGACACGGUCCAGACUCCUACGGGAGGCAGCAGUGGGGAAUAUUGCACAAUGGGCGCAAGCCUGAUGCAGCCAUGCCGCGUGUAUGAAGAAGGCCUUCGGGUUGUAAAGUACUUUCAGCGGGGAGGAAG
rnacentral:rRNA from 1 species